GGACGAACGCUGGCGGCGUGCUUACCCCAUGCACGUCGAACGGAAAGGCCCUGCUUUUGUGGGGUGCUCGAGUGGCGAACGGGUGAGUAACACGUGAGUAACCUGCCCUUGACUUUGGGAUAACUUCAGGAAACUGGGGCUAAUACCGGAUAGGAGCUCCUGCUGCAUGGUGGGGGUUGGAAAGUUUCGGCGGUUGGGGAUGGACUCGCGGCUUAUCAGCUUGUUGGUGGGGUAGUGGCUUACCAAGGCUUUGACGGGUAGCCGGCCUGAGAGGGUGACCGGCCACAUUGGGACUGAGAUACGGCCCAGACUCCUACGGGAGGCAGCAGUGGGGAAUAUUGCACAAUGGGCGGAAGCCUGAUGCAGCAACGCCGCGUGCGGGAUGACGGCCUUCGGGUUGUAAACCGCUUUCGCCUGUGACGAAGCGUGAGUGACGGUAAUGGGUAAAGAAGCACCGGCUAACUACGUG
rnacentral:rRNA from 1 species